rnacentral:rRNA from 1 species
UACAGAGGUCUCAAGCGUUGUUCGGAUUCAUUGGGCGUAAAGGGUGCGUAGGCGGCGCGGUAAGUCGGGUGUGAAAUCUCGGAGCUUAACUCCGAAACUGCAUUCGAUACUGCUGUGCUUGAGGACUGGAGAGGAGACUGGAAUUUACGGUGUAGCGGUGAAAUGCGUAGAUAUCGUAAGGAAGACCAGUGGCGAAGGCGGGUUUCUGGACAGUUCCUGACGCUGAGGCACGAAGGUCAGGGGAGCAAACGGG